ensembl:lncRNA
AGAAAAUCCCACGCAGGCUCAGGAGGCCAUAGCAUCAGGAAGAUGGCCCCAGCCACCAACUGCUGCUUGCCCACACUCCUUCCCUAUGGCUGGGCCCAGCGGCUAGGUUGCAUGCUGCACCUUCAGCCCCAUCCCUGAAGCACACCUCUGUGGGCUGCGGGGUACCCUGACUUUCCCUGGUACUGCCAGCCCUGGCCUGGGGAGCCCAAGCUCCCCUAGCUUUGGAUGGCAAAAAACCAAUCCUAAACCAGCAAAGCUGCAAGGCUGUGGCAAGUUGCUGACUUGUGAGCUCCGGCUGGCAAAGGGGAGGCAGAGGUGCCACCAUCAGCUGGCAGCGACCCAUCCCACACGCAGAAGGCAGUCACGCUGCCACAAGGUCCCUGCAUGCUUCCUAUAUCCCUCCUGCUACGUUCUCCUGCGUUUCACGACUGCACACGUGCAGUGUAGUCAUGCCAGCAUUGUGCCUGCUGGCAGCCCCGGCCCUGCCCCUGGUUCCACACUCACCUCAGCUUCUCCUCCUGUGACACAGGCAGCCCCACGCUAUCCGGGCGAUCCCGUCUCCUCCUGUACAGACCUGACUGUGACAGCUCCUUCAGCUGUAGGGCUGUCAUAUUUCUCUACCUAGAGCUUUUGUGUUGUUGUUGGGGGGGUGUUUUGGCUUUGAGUUGUCUUCCUCCCCUCCAGAUGAGCCUGCUUGCCAAGACGCCCGGAGAGAAGAGGCUCGGCGUCUGCACACCUGCGCUGCCGGAGCCGCGAACCUCUGCAGGCAGGCAGGCAGGCAGGCAGCCGCCUCUGGCUUCCUGUUCCUCAUAGGUACACACCCUCCUGCAGGGCACCACGUUUCCUUUAUCGCUCGAUCACACCUCGGGGAUGGCCGCCACAGGCUGCCCGGUGCCCCGCUGCUUUGCCCACGUUGCGACAGGAGCGCUCUGGCGUGUGCGGUGCCAACGGCACAGCCCGGCCAGCACCGAGCAAAAAAGGGGCAAAAAAAAAGAAAAUCCACGGGACCCCGAGGAGCUAGGAACUCUUCCCUGCUGUAAUUUAUGACACAAAGAAACUUAUAAGCGCUAUAAAAAUGUGGAGCUACUCAAGCAUGUAGGCAGACUCUCAUCCGGAGAUUCAUCCAGCAAACUGCAUCAAGCGAUGGAGCGUCCCUGUGUCGGUUGCAAAGCAGGAAUGAAACUGCGGAAGGUUUCCUGUGGGACAGGAAGGUGGCCGGCAGAGAUUUGCAAGCUGUGCGUCUCCUCUCAAUCAGGAAUGGAAGUCUUCAUUUGAACUGGAAAGUGGCUUUCGCAAAAGCCUCGUUGCUACUGACAAAACAUUCAUGCUGCUUUGAUUUUAUUCAUGGCACAAACAAACCCCGAAUU